rnacentral:lncRNA from 1 species
GUUCACUUUGACACAUUUGCAGGAGAAAAAUAGUAAUUUAAAAACCACAUUUCUUUACUUGCAGUUGGGAACAGAUCAACAACAAACAAGCAAACUAAGAGCUCUGCUUCCAACAAGUAAAAGAGAAGGGAAAUAGGGAACUCCGCAGAGGGCUCUCUUUGGAUUCAGAGGAGGGAAGAAUCGAUUGGUUAGCGUUGGACAGACUGACAGUCUCCCCCAGCCGUGUCUACUAGAGAAAGUAUGCAAGGCUGUUAAAACUCGAACAAAAGUAGCCUUUAUGAUUAAGUGAGUUUUGGGGGUAUGCCAUAGCAAGUUGUGAAGAAGAGUUUUCCUGACAAAGAGAAACCUGGCUAAAAUUAUUUUGUAUAGUCAUAUAAUUUGGCAGGGGAAAAAAAGAGUAUGAAUCCAGAUGUUAAGCAAGACUCACAUCCCAGUCUUGAAUCUAUUUACAGGUUCCUGUCUGAGAAUCAAAAUGGAUUUCGUCUCAUGAGUUGACUUCAUUGCUCGCUGUCCUCAACAUUUUUCUCCUUCACCUAGACUUCACUUCCAUAAAAUCUGUUCACCCACAGAUAAAGGCAAUAAUAUGUUUGCGUCCAUCAAAUACCAGGCCUAUAUU